rnacentral:lncRNA from 1 species
GGUAAAUUGAAAGGAUGUCUGAUGAAAGGCAUGGCAUUCUCGUUUUCUUCACUAUUACUUUAUUAAAUGAAAAAGUGAGGAGAUUACUCUAUUAAAUGAAAAGAUAAAUACUAUUACUUUAUUAAAUGGGAAGGUGAGGAGAUUAUUUGAUUAAAUGGAAAGAAAAAUAAAAGAUGAAAGGAUUAGUCUAUUAAAUGAGAAAAGAAAUGUGAAGGUGAAGAGACGAUACUGGGAGAUAAAUCGGAUACAUGCAUGAGAGAAAGUAUCUAGUAGAGGUGGGUCUAAUAUUCAAUAGAAAGGAUGGAGGAGGUGAUAAUAAUACUAGUAGCUAGGUGGGCCCAAAUUCAACAGAAUUCUGCAACGUCGGAUAGAAACUAAAAGGGAAUUAAUAAUUUUGCAUAGAUUUCAAUAUAUAAGUGAAUAG